GUGCCAGGGCACACGAGUGGAGGUCAGAAGACGACUUGUAUUAGUGGGUUCCCUCUCCUUCCACCAGAGCUCGAACUCAGGCCGUCAGGUUUGGCACCAAACCCAUUUCCCUGCUGGGCCAUCUCAGCAGCUGCUUGAAGUAUUUGUUUAAAAUAACAGCAACAACGAGGAAACUCAUACACGAAUACUCCUUUCAGAGCACGGAGAGACAGCUCAGCAGCCAAGAGCACUUGCUGCUCUUACAGAGGAUCCGGAAGUAUGAUUCAUAUGUGUAAUGUGCCAUAUAUGCACGGUCCAAGAGGAGAACUCUGAGCUUGAGAGAAUCCAGAGGAAGAGCUGAAGUGAAAGUGAACCGUGCCCAUGUGCCAGCCAUACUGCUCCGUGACAACCACCGUCUCCCGGAGUCCUCAAGACAACAACAGGCAUUCUUGAUUGUGCCCCGUCACCAGUUUAUCAGAUUCGGUAACUCUGUCUCUGUCGGUGGGAGAUCCAGGAGGUGAGUCCUUGCCCGUACAAUGUCAAGUCACAGGAGCUUUACCUUGAGCCUCAUGGAGUUGAGAAGUGAAGAAAUGCAGAAAGCUGCUGCCGAGAUGGUGUUGGAUUUGUGGAGAAAGCCUGAGCCUACCCUGAGGCUGCACCCGGCAAUGUCCUUCAAUGCGUUUGCCAUUGAGCUUCCCGCUAGCAAUCCUGAAAGACCAAAGAAAGCAGAGAGCUGAUUGCAGCCAGCCUACAACGUGGAAUUCGAAUGGGUGAUUCCUUCUUCCAUGCCCAGGCCAAGACAGCACAGCUGAUAAGUAGGACCUGGUGUGUGAGUGUUAGGGAAGGUGCUACUGUCCAUGCAGAUAACAUGAGCUAAUCCUCACGUUUGACAAGAGAAACAAGGGAAGAAACAGCCUGGACCCUCCCAUAGGCCGAGAUCAUCAACCAGACAGCUACAGACCAAGCGUGCUGAGGGCAGCUGCACCUCCCUAGA